rnacentral:rRNA from 1 species
AUUGAACGCUGGCGGCAUGCCUUACACAUGCAAGUCGAACGGCAGCACGGGAGCAAUCCUGGUGGCGAGUGGCGAACGGGUGAGUAAAGCAUCGGAACGUGCCCAGUCGUGGGGGAUAACGUAGCGAAAGCUACGCUAAUACCGCAUACGAUCUGUGGAUGAAAGCGGGGGACCGUAAGGCCUCGCGCGAUUGGAGCGGCCGAUGUCAGAUUAGGUAGUUGGUGAGGUAAAGGCUCACCAAGCCGACGAUCUGUAGCUGGUCUGAGAGGACGACCAGCCACACUGGGACUGAGACACGGCCCAGACUCCUACGGGAGGCAGCAGUGGGGAAUUUUGGACAAUGGGCGCAAGCCUGAUCCAGCAAUGCCGCGUGCAGGAUGAAGGCCUUCGGGUUGUAAACUGCUUUUGUACGGAGCGAAAAGGCUUCCACUAAUACUGGGGGCUCAUGACGGUACCGUAAGAAUAAGCACCGGCUAACUACGUGCCAGCCGCCGCCGUAACAC